rnacentral:ncRNA from 1 species
UAACUAUAACGGUCCUAAGGUAGCGAAAUUCCUUGUCGGGUAAGUUCCGACCCGCACGAAAGGCGUAACGAUUUGGGCACUGUCUCAACGAGAGACUCGGUGAAAUCAUAGUACCUGUGAAGAUGCAGGUUACCCGCGACAGGACGGAAAGACCCCGUGGAGCUUUACUGUAGCCUGAUAUUGAAAUUCGGCACAGCUUGUACAGGAUAGGUAGGAGCCUUUGAAACGUGAGCGCUAGCUUACGUGGAGGCGUUGGUGGGAUACUACCCUAGCUGUGUUGGCUUUCUAACCCGCACCACUUAUCGUGGUGGGAGACAGUGUCAGGCGGGCAGUUUGACUGGGGCGGUCGCCUCCUAAAAGGUAACGGAGGCGCUCAAAGGUUCCCUCAGAAUGGUUGGAAAUCAUUCAUAGAGUGUAAAGGCAUAAGGGAGCUUGACUGCGAGACCUACAAGUCGAGCAGGGUCGAAAGACGGACUUAGUGAUCCGGUGGUUCCGCAUGGAAGGGCCAUCGCUCAACGGAUAAAAGCUACCCCGGGGAUAACAGGCUUAUCUCCCCCAAGAGUUCACAUCGACGGGGAGGUUUGGCACCUCGAUGUCGGCUCAUCGCAUCCUGGGGCUGUAGUCGGUCCCAAGGGUUGGGCUGUUCGCCCAUUAAAGCGGUACGCGAGCUGGGUUCAGAACGUCGUGAGACAGUUCGGUCCCUAUCCGUCGUGGGCGUAGGAAAUUUGAGAGGAGCUGUCCUUAGUACGAGAGGACCGGGAUGGACAUACCUCUGGUGUACCAGUUGUCGUGCCAACGGCAUAGCUGGGUAGCUAUGUAUGGACGGGAUAAGUGCUGAAAGCAUCUAAGCAUGAAGCCCCCCUCAAGAUGAGAUUUCCCAACUUCGGUUAUAAGAUCCCUCGAAGAUGACGAGGUUAAUAGGUUCGAGGUGGAAGCGUGGUGACACGUGGAGCUGACGAAUACUAAUCGAUCGAAGACUUAAUCAA